rnacentral:rRNA from 1 species
AGAUUGAACGCUGGCGGCAUGCCUUACACAUGCAAGUCGAACGGCAGCACGGGGGCAACCCUGGUGGCGAGUGGCGAACGGGUGAGUAACAUAUCGGAACGUGCCCUGGAGUGGGGGAUAACUAGUCGAAAGACUAGCUAAUACCGCAUACGAUCUACGGAUGAAAGUGGGGGAUCGCAAGACCUCAUGCUCGUGGAGCGGCCGAUAUCUGAUUAGCUAGUUGGUGGGUAAAGGCCUACCAAGGCAUCGAUCAGUAGCUGGUCUGAGAGGACGACCAGCCACACUGGGGCUGAGACACGGCCCAGACUCCUACGGGAGGCAGCAGGUGGGGAAUUUUGGACAAUGGGCGCAAGCCUGAUCCAGCAAUGCCGCGUGAGUGAAGAGGCCUUGGUGUAAGCUCUUUGUCAGGAAGAACGGUUCGUGUCUAAUAGUCUAGGAG